CGAACACGCUUCUCCGGGAUAAUUUUGUCGAAUGGAUUCCAGGAGAUGCAAGAAACAUGGAAGAUUGUUGAUUUUUCGUUUCGUACAAAAUUAUUUGUUUGCUGGUCGUUACAUGAUGUGCUUCAACAGUUGCUGGUGGCCACCAUUUUGGCAUGAAGCUUGCAUAAUGUUUUUCCUCUAUGUCCUUACUGGCGAAUUUCCGGAAGAGCUAUCGACGAUUUACCUUCACUCACCAAUUCAUGUUUCGUAGGUUUGUUUCUGUUUUUGAAUUU